rnacentral:misc_RNA from 1 species
UACGGAGGGUGCAAGCGUUACUCGGAAUUACGGGGCGUAAAGCGCGCGUAGGUGGUUGGUUAAGUUGGAUGUGAAAGCCCCGGGCUCAACCUGGGAACUGCAUCCAAAACUGGCCAGCUAGAGUACAGUAGAGGGUGGUGGAAUUUCCUGUGUAGCGGUGAAGUGCGUAGACAUAGGAAGGAACACCAGUGGCGAAGGCGACCACCUGGACUGAUACUGACACUGAGGUGCGAAAGCGUGGGGAGCAAACAGG